rnacentral:rRNA from 1 species
AGGAAUACCCGCUGAACUUAAGCAUAUCAAGUCGGGAAGGAAGC